rnacentral:rRNA from 1 species
UACGAAGGGGGCUAGCGUUGUUCGGAAUUACUGGGCGUAAAGGGCGCGUAGGCGGUACUUCAAGUCAGGCGUGAAAGCCCCGGGCUCAACCUGGGAACCGCGCUUGAGACUGGAGAACUAGAGUUCGGGAGAGGAUGGUGGAAUUCCCAGUGUAGAGGUGAAAUUCGUAGAUAUUGGGAAGAACACCGAUGGCGAAGGCAGCCAUCUGGACCGACACUGACGCUGAGGCGCGAAAGCGUGGGGAGCAAACAGGAUUAGAUACCCUGGUAGUCCACGCCGUAAACGAUGAGUGCUAGACGUUGGGGCCCUUAGGGCUUCGGUGUCGCAGCUAACGCAUUAAGCACUCCGCCUGGGGAGUACGGCCGCAAGGUUAAA